CACCGGCAGCUCAAGUGGUAGCCGCUUUUAUUGGGACUAAAGCGUCCGUAGCCGGUCUGAUAAGUCUCUGGUGAAAUCCCACAGCUUAACUGUGGGAAUUGCUGGAGAUACUAUCAUGACUCGAGGUCGGGAGAGGCUGGAGGUACUCCCAGGGUAGGGGUGAAAUCCUGUAAUCCUGGGAGGACCACCUGUGGCGAAGGCGUCCAGCUGGAACGAACCUGACGGUGAGGGACGAAAGCCAGGGGCGCGAACCGG
rnacentral:rRNA from 1 species